GGGCUGUUUCCCCAUGUGAAUCCCUCAAGGCGUGGAUGCGUAGGAGCGGCGCACCUGCUGGCUGGUCAAUGUAGACGUUCUCUGAGUACUCCUUUCUGGGGAAGUACAGACCAAAGGAAGCCCCGCACAGCAGCAGGAGGCCGGCCGCCCCCCGCACCGAGCGCAUCUUCCUGGGCCACAGGCGCUCCGGGCAGCAGCGGGCUCUCAAGCUGGCCGGCCCAUGCCCGAGGCGGGACGCGCCGAGCCGGGAUGCGGACCGCGCCGGGAUGUCGCGCCGGGAUGCCGCGAGCCGGCUCCUUCCCUCGCUCCUCCCGGACCCGACCCCGCAGACGGGAGGAAGCUUCCCGUC
rnacentral:lncRNA from 1 species